UAAAAAUCGAUCGAUGAAAAUGUCAAGUGUGUUUUAUUUACGAAACGAAACCAACUUGCACUCAUAUUUUACUAAGUUUAACUUCGCCAGUUCUUUUUACUUAUUUUUUAAUCAUUUGUGCUAAAAUAGAUGCGUAAUCGAUGCUACGACCAUAAACAAAAGAUUCAAUCUCGGAUUCAAUUGUGCAAGCUAACCAAAACCAUAUCGGUACUGCCUUCGCUGUGGAUAGACAGAAAAAACCGGAUAAAGAAAGAAGCGCUGAAGUGACUGUGAUGUGCGAUGCUGGCCAAGAAAACCAUAAGAAAUAGCAAAAACUACCAAAACGUACACCAGAGUAUUCAGUGCCUAUCAGAAUGAAAAAAAUGGUAUCCUUCUGCCAACUUUAGUGAUCAAAUUCCAGAGCAGAUACGAAUAGGAAAUGAUUCAGGCUCGGGUAGAUGUAAACCACGGAAAAUAUGAAUAAUUGUUCAAUUGUGAAUUCAAUCCAGACCAGGCCCUUUAUCAGCACCUUUAAUAUAUUCUGAUGCUCAUCAAAAGAACAAAAACCUGGAGAAGUUCUGGAAGAAAUCAUGCCAAAAUAUAUUUCCUACGUGACAUUAGAAGACCAUUACAAUCACCGCAGGAUGAAAACAGAUUUGUUCCAGGGUUUCAGCCUGUGUUAUCGUUGCUGCUUCGAAUCCUGUGCAAUCAGACAGUAAGUCAAGCGGAACUUAUUAGGUGGAAGCUAUCGACGAACAUGAAUAAAGAUAUGUAAUUUUAA